CCGAAUUCAAUUUAUUAAUUAAAAGAAUGAUUACAAUCAGCAACUAUACUGCCAAAAAAGAUGUUGCCAAAAAAGAUGUUGACUGGACUCAUCAGAUUCGAAAAAUAACUUCGUGUCGGUCUCAUGAAACAAAAAAGAUUCAGGCUUUUUCUUUUUUUUGAGCAAGAAAGCUCAUCGACAUCAUCUGUAAUAGGACAUUACUGUAACAAACCAACCAUUGGAUAAACAAUUUUUAAAGGAUUCAACUACAAAACAAGCCAAAGAAGUCUAAGUGGAUGCCAAAAGAAAAAAAAUGAAUAAAUUAAAAAAAAGGAAAUGGAAGAAGUAAACUCACCUUUAAAAGUUGCUCAAGAGUAGCUCCUCAGUAUCGCUUUCUUUAUUCUCACUCUCUAAAGUUAAAUAAGUUUCCUCAAUUUGCCUGUACCUAUAUCUGCAGAAGUUUUCUCAUCAAGACACACGAGACUUUCUCCAAGAGAAGUCUUUCUUUGGAAAUGAAGACUUCUUUGGAAUAAAAGAAGUCGGUGAAAACUUGAGAAUAAAAGGUACGAAUAAGGAUGCCAAAUAUCUAGUUAUGGAUGAAU
rnacentral:lncRNA from 1 species